UUUUAGAGCUUAUAACUGGUGCUGGUGGUAAAAGUAUAACAUGUUAUGAAUUUUUGCUAGACUGAAAUUGCAUUUUUAGUGUCAACAGCACCAGCUUAAUAAGCCGAACUGUGGAUGAAUGCAAGAAGAAGGUUAGCGACCUGAAGGUGAAGGCCCGUAAAAAAGAAAGAGCCAGGGUGCAGUAUGAGCGGGGCACGGGUGGAGGACCCCCUUCAGAGGAAUUGAGUCCUCUAGAAAAAAAGAUGCUGGAACUCCUUCCUUUGGAAUCGGUACAUGGCCAUGAAGAUGGUUUUGAUACCUUCAAGCCCAGUUCUUCAGCAUCAAUGCAUGGUCUGGGUAGCUCAUCCAAG